GACCCUGUAGUUCAAGGGAUAGAAUAUCCCGCUAAAAAAAAGCGGGACUAAACUUUUGAUCCAGGUUCGAAUCCUGGCGGGAUCACCA
rnacentral:tRNA from 1 species